AUUGAACGCUGGCGGCAUGCCUUACACAUGCAAGUCGAACGGCAGCACGGGUGCUUGCCCCUGGUGGCGAGUGGCGAACGGGUGAGUAAUACAUCGGAACAUGUCCUGUAGUGGGGGAUAGCCCGGCGAAAGCCGGAUUAAUACCGCAUACGAUCCACGGAUGAAAGCGGGGGACCUUCGGGCCUCGCCCUAUAGGGUUGGCCGAUGGCUGAUUAGCUAGUUGGUGGGGUAAAGUCCUACCAAGGCGACGAUCAGUAGCUGGUCUGAGAGGACGACCAGCCACACGGGGACUGAGACACGGCCCAGACUCCUACGGGAGGCAGCAGUGGGGAAUUUUGGACAAUGGGCGAAAGCCUGAUCCAGCAAUGCCGCGUGUGUGAAGAAGGCCUUCGGGUUGUAAAGCACUUUUGUCCGGAAAGAAAUCCUUGGCUCUAAUACAGUCGGGGGAUGACGGUACCGGAAGAAUAAGCACCGGCUAACUACGUG
rnacentral:rRNA from 1 species